rnacentral:lncRNA from 1 species
GCCAUACCAGUUUUCCCAAUUACAAGUAAAACCACAAAAUAAUAAAUAACAGAACAUCAGUAAAAAGAUAUUAAUGAACAAAAACUGUCAAACAGCCUACUUGAUCAAAAUAUCCUAUAGACUACAACAACAAUUCCAAGUUAGGAACAUAAUAUUUGUUAGGCAAAAUAAAUUAUGUACAGCAGCAUCAAUACAAUAGAAAAGAAGAUGUCAGUCCAACAUUUUGCAAAAAAAGAUUGCCAUAUCUUUCCCCCAUCAGCAGUCCAUCUCGUGGAGACACCAAAUCCUUCAAAAGAAAGCACAACUUCAGGUGAUGAAGUAAAAUAAUAAAUUGAGCAGAACUUUUUGCACAUCAAAAUGCAUCAGUCAAUGUCAAAGAAACUAAUACUUACCAUUGUCAUCCACCUUAACAUAGCAGGUCCCAAUGCCUAUAAUAACUGAUACCGAAUGGGAAGUGGAAACUAGGUUAAAGUUCAAACUAAGAGUAGACAACUUAAAAGAAUAACAAACAUAAAAAGAAUAGUCCUAUAAGGAAGUAAAUCUCAUGGAAAAAGGAAAUAAGAGUUCGGAUAUAAGAAUAUUCAUUUGGAAAAAAAUUAUGAUACUAGAUUGGAGCAUCAUACUAAUAGGAGAAAAAUUAGUUUCAAAUUUUCAUGUAAAGCAUAUGCCCUCAACAUCAGAAGUAGCAAACGAAGGAACAUAAGAAUUCAUUGAAGAGCCUCACCGGUCACUGCCUUUUGUGCAACUAGUCUAAGCAAUUAAAAUUGCAUAAUAGCACAACUUGCCAUAUUCCCAGCAGCUCGCCUCUAUUGAUCCUCAAAACAUUAAUAAAAUCUGAAAACAUAUAAUUCCCCAUUCUCUUACACAGCACAAUUUCAACUUUUAAGAAACAACCAAAAUCAAAAAGACUAGACCAUGUAAAGGAAAAUGACCACUGAGGGAGAUUGGCGAAAGUCUGUCCAAUCAAGUGUCUUAAUUCAAAAUACUACAAAUCAAAACUUCUUAUAAUUAAACUACUAGCUGUUCGAGUGGGGCUUUCAAGAACAACUCCACAACUUUCAUUCGAUACCUAGUAAAAUCAUAAAUGAGUAUUGAAACGUAAAAAGGGUAAACAAGUACCUUGAAGGAGUGAAUAUGAGAGCUAAUUAGUGUCGAAGGACUUACCUGUUCAAGAAAUUCUAACAGAUCCACAUCAGUUAGGUUAACGCCCAAAAUACAUGGAACCUGUACUAGCAAGAAAACAACCAUUUUCUUAUGAAACACAUACAAGUGAAUCCUGUUAGCUUGUGGAGUAUUUCCUAAAACAUGAAUGAUGUCAUGAAUAUUUUCCAAAGUAAGUUGGAAGCUAUCCGAGCUUCACGGCCUUAUUAUAAUUUAAAAAGAGAGAACCUCUAGCAUCGUCUUGUUACUGAUGGUACUGGAAUAAAAAAGUUCUCCCCUUAGAAGUUACAAUUCAUAAUUCACUCGCUAUAAUCAACACAAUUAAAACAUAAAAUGGACCAUAAGAGACAGUGCGCACAAACGACACUUGAAAGCCUUAAACCCAAAAAUCGUUAUUGCUUUAAACAAGAUGGAGCACAGAACUGAUAUGAACUGUUGUAUUGAUACCUCAGAAUGGAAUAACUAGACUGAGCAGAAGUGCUUGUCAUGCUUUGUUUUCCACACUAGGACAGGCAUAUAUAUCAGAAGGAGGAAUAGGAAUGCUAAAGUGAAUAAGCUAUAAAGUAUAGUAAAAGAUUCGAGAAUGUAGAUGAGUAAUCUCUCCCAGCCCUUGUGUAUUUAUACUCUACAGGCGUAGCUUUAUUCCCAAGAAUUCCUAAUCUCAAUUCAUCUUCAUAACAGUUGAUGUCACUUCCUUAUCCUGUAUUAACAACUACAAUACCUUUCCCUUCUAAGACUAAUUUGCAAAAGGUUUCCAUGUACUUAAACUUUUUCAAUGUAUAAUAUGACAGAGACAAGUAUUAGACAAUAUUACUGCAACAAGUGUGACAGAUGUUGGCUGCUUGUGAAUCAGAUUUAGGUCCCUGCUACGGGCUAUAACCACACCAACUUCAUGCUCAGAGAUAGGUUUAACUUUAAUGAAUGCCGCAAAAAUUAGUGCAACGGAUUUCUGGUAAAUGGCAAUUUUAUCAAGUUCCAUAGACUAAUUGUGAUAAAAAUCUAAACAAAGAUCCGUAACUUACCUGGUAAAUGAUCUUGAUGCUUGCGGAUGAAUGUUGCAGGUCCAACACCAGUUCUGAAUUUGGCCAACAUAGUUGUGUAAUAAUUGGUAACCAAUUUCAGGGAUGACCUGCAAAGGCAUGGUCAAAGACUCACAAUCAAUGUCACCUAUUAUAAAGAGUUUCAAGACUUCCCCACAAGCCAAGCGGCACAUGGCAAAGAUAAACUCUAUAAUUCACAUUAGAUGACCAUAAAUGUACCAAUUCUUGCUCGGAAUCAAGAUAGGUUGUUGUCCUCCUUUGUCCAGAUAGGACCUCAUAAUUCACUAAGUUACAGACUCCAAGUUGAAAUAACACAUCAAUGAGUUUUUAGAAAAUCAUUACCUUCUCAGGCAGUUCUUCCAUACGAAUUCGGUCAUCUACAGCAUGAACAUGACAAUGAGUUUAACGUUGCUAGAAUCGAAUAAAAGAUCAUAAUCUUGACUAUGUAGAAUCAAGCAAAAGAUCAUAAUCUUGACAAUGUAAAAAGGGACGCACAUUUAUUUUGACAUAAGAAUAUACUCCUCCGCCAAACAGUCACAGAGUGAUGAAACAAAAGAUAAAACACCUAUGUAGAAAUCCCAUACUCUCUACUGUCUCAUUCUUGCCUUUCUUAGCCUAACCUAACAAAAGGGAAUUCACAAGACUUCAAGCGUCUUUCGGCCAAUUCAUUCUCCUGAGGCUCAGAUUUGUUAUAAAACCAGGCAAAAGGAAACAAAGAAACCGCCAUGGCUGCAGACCUCGGUUGCAAAACGGAGAUGCCUUACCGGGUUGCCUCGCCAAGAAAGGGUAGCUCCAUUUCCUGACCCAACUCUAUACAACUUCAUUUGUCAUCAUCACAACCUUAUCCUAUAAUUAAAAGCUAGCAUUGGUAGAUAGACCUUACCC